ACACAGGGUGCAGAGAAGAAAGAGAAAGACAGCGCAGGAUGUGGAGUCCAGCGAACAGAGGGCUGACUUCCCACCAUACCCCACUGGACAUGAGUGAGCAGAUGUCCUUCCAGGUAUCUAGUGCCCGAGGAGUCAUGUGUCACAUGCCCAGUGAAAGUUUGGUGACUGAAUGGGUCCAUCUUCUGCUUUCAUGAUUGUCCCCAAGCCAGAGUGAUGGAGGAUGGAGAGAGAAUGUGGAUUGGUACUAAGGUGUCAUGUGACUGCCUCAGACUGAAUUGUAAAACAUUUUUGGACAGUUUCAUACACGGAGAUGAUGAAGGUUGGAGGAGAGGAUCAGGAAAGAGCUGUUUGUACGAACGAUCUCCUAGUGGACCUCCGGAAGAAGAAAAGGAAGAGUGAGAUAAAGAGUGAAGGUCGGACAGCAGCAGCAGAACAGAGAAAAGAACACGCAAAGGCAGGAGAGCGCUGGACGAAGCCAGAUAUCUAAAAGGCAACGGGACCAGGAACCAGUACAGAUGAGGCUGAAUAACGAGGUAGCAGCCAGUUUGUGGAGUGACUCAGGGGCCAGGGCAAGGGAUUUGGUCUUUCUUUCAAGAGCACUGAGAAAACAUCAAACAUAAUCUAAAAUAAGCCAACCUCUGGUUUAAAGAGAUAACUGGAUCAGCUGUGUGGAAAACAAUCAGAGUCCUUACGACUCAGGGAGCCUGGGGUGGGAAUUCCUUAUAGAAUGCAUAUGGAUUCAUAUAUGUUUUUAUAUUUUAUAUCCAAGUCUCUACUCCACCUGGGAUCUUGCUCACAGCAACAGCUAAGGCUUAUCCUUGAGUAGAUAUGGAUAGCUAUUUGCUCCAACGCCGUUGAUUGAAAAUGUCCUUUGCCUGUUGCUUUUCUAUCACACAUUUGGCAUAAACUCAUUUCUACAGUAGUUACGGUUGUACAUUUUAGGUUAUUGUAAUGUUCUGGUCUGUCUUUCUCUUCUUGCGCAAAGUCUGUGCUGUCUCCUUUACUGUAAGUCAUUUAUCUCCAUGAUUCUCUAGGCUAUUCUUUUUUUAAAAUCUAUUUAUUUUAUUUAUAUAAGUACACUGGAGCUGUCUUCAGCCAUAUGAGAAGGCACUAGAUCCAUUACAGAUGGUUGUGAGCCACCAUGUGGUUGCUGAGAAUUGAACUCAGGACCUCUGGAAGAGCAAUCAGUGCUCUUAACCACUGAGCCAUCUCUCUAGCCCCUAAGCUAUUCUUUUUAAUCCCUUGUUUUCAAAAAAUAUGUUUUAGAGUCAGUGUGUCAAGUUAUACACAUACACACACACACACACACACACACACACAUACACACACACACACACACCAGUCUAAUGAGAUGUACUUUUUAAAAAGCAACACCCUCUAUUGAGGCUUUCAUAAUGAGUAUCAUAUUGGAGGAAAGUGAGGUUUGUCUUAGUUUCUUUUCCCACUGCUGUGAUAAAAAAGCCUGACAAAAUCAACUCAAGAGAGAAAGGAUUUCUUUGGCUUAUUAGUCACAGCCAUCACUUCAGGGAAGUCAAGGUGGCAGGAAUUUGAAACAGAUGUCACAUUACAUCCACAAAUCAGAAUCUGAGCAAUGACUUAAUGCAUGUGUGCCUAGCUCAGUAUCUCUGCUCAGAAUCCCUUGCCUAGGGAAUAGUGCCGCUCACUGUGGGCUCUCCAACCUUAAUUAACAUAAUCAAGAUAAUCCCCCACCAGACAUACUCAUAGGCCAACCUAAUAUAGACAUUCUCUCAGUGAGACUCCCUUUCCAAGUGAUUCUGGAUUGUGUCAAGUUGACAAUUAACAAUGACCAUCACAGGAUCUAUAAAGAAUUGAAACUUCCAGUCUGUGAGCACAGAAUAUCUAUCAGUAUAUAGAGACUAUCCUUGAUUUUGAUUUUUUUUCAAUUGUGUUGUGUACUUUCCUGUUAAAAUUCUCACAUAUAUAUAUUUUAGAUUUACUCCUGGAUAUUUAAUAUUUGGGAUGCUAUUGCUAAUAGUCUUUUUAAAAAUUUGUUUUUAAGUUAUUGCUGGCAUUAAUAAAUUCAAUUACUUCUGAGCAUUUAUCUUUAGUAAUAUUAUUACAUUUUCUUGUUAAUUCUAAAGUCUGUAGAUUAUUUUGGGUUAUUGUUGUGCAUAUAAUCCUCUCAUUUUCAGACAAUGGAAAUAAAAUAUUUUCUUCC
rnacentral:lncRNA from 1 species